rnacentral:rRNA from 1 species
GAUGAACGCUGGCGGUGUGCCUAAUACAUGCAAGUCGUACGCAUUCUCGUUUCUGAUUGACGGUGCUUGCACCUAUUGACGAGACAUUGGAAUGAGUGGCGGACGGGUGAGUAACACGUGGGUAACCUGCCCAGAAGCGGGGGAUAACAUUUGGAAACAGAUGCUAAUACCGCAUAAAAGUCAAAACCACAUGGUUUUGAUUUAAAAGAUGGCCUUUGUGCUAUCACUUCUGGAUGGACCCGCGGCGUAUUAGCUAGUUGGUAAGGUAAUGGCUUACCAAGGCAAUGAUACGUAGCCGAACUGAGAGGUUGAUCGGUCACAAUGGGACUGAGACACGGCCCAUACUCCUACGGGAGGCAGCAGUAGGGAAUCUUCCACAAUGGGCGCAAGCCUGAUGGAGCAACACCGCGUGAGUGAAGAAGGGUUUCGGCUCGUAAAACUCUGUUGUUAAAGAAGAACGUAUCUAAGAGUAACUGCUUAGGUAGUGACGGUAUUUAACCAGAAAGCCACGGCUAACUACGUGCCAGCCGCCGCCGUAA